GGUCUCAUGGUGUAAUGGUUAGCACUCUGGACUUUGAAUCCAGUGAUCCGAGUUCAAAUCUCGGAUAGACCU
rnacentral:tRNA from 1 species